GCAAGGAUAAUGCCAGCAGUUAAGAUCAGUGUGAGUGAAGCGAGCCCGAGUCUUCCUGGAGCUUGUGGCAAUGUGCUUGCUUCCCUGAGCCAUGGACACCAAAGGAAGAGGGAGGCACUGCACCUCUCCUGCCCUACCCGAGCCCUUCUGAGACCUUCCAUGGCAGAGUUCCUGGUCACCGCAGUCACCACGGACCACUGCUUGCAGAAGAAAACUGUGUGUGCUCUCAUCAGCCUGGGGCUGCCUAAUCACCUCCUGAUUUAGAGAAUCCUUAAGUCAAAACAAGGAAUACUAGCU
rnacentral:lncRNA from 1 species